GUGGGGAAUCUUCCGCAAUGGACGAAAGUCUGACGGAGCAACGCCGCGUGAGUGAUGAAGGUCUUCGGAUCGUAAACUUCUAUCCUUGGUGAAGAUAAUGACGGUAGCCGAGAAGGAAGCCCCGGCUAACUACGUGCCAGCAGCCGCGGUAAUACGUAGGGGGCAAGCGUUGUCCGGAAUGAUUGGGCGUAAAGGGCGCGUAGGCGGCCUGGUAAGUCUGGAGUGAAAGUCCUGCUUUUAAGGUGGGAAUUGCUUUGGAUACUGUCGGGCUUGAGUGCAGGAGAGGUAAGUGGAAUUCCCGGUGUAGCGGUGAAAUGCGUAGAGAUCGGGAGGAACACCAGUGGCGAAGGCGACUUACUGGACUGUAACUGACGCUGAGGCGCGAAAGUGUGGGGAGCAAACAGGAUUAGAAACCCGUGUAGUCC
rnacentral:rRNA from 1 species